rnacentral:rRNA from 1 species
GGUGACGUGGAGCAAACCUCAGAAAGCCAAUCUCAGUUCGGAUUGUAGGCUGCAACUCGCCUACAUGAAGUUGGAAUCGCUAGUAAUCGCGAAUCAGAAUGUCGCGGUGAAUACGUUCCCGGGUCUUGUACACACCGCCCGUCACACCACGAGAGUUUACAACACCCGAAGUCAGUGGCCUAACCGCAAGGAGGGAGCUGCCUAAGGUGGGGUAGAUGAUUGGGGUGAAGUCGUAACAAGGUACC